UACGAAGGGGGCUAGCGUUGUUCGGAAUUACUGGGCGUAAAGCGCGCGUAGGCGGGUUGUUAAGUCCGGGGUGAAAUCCUGGAGCUCAACUCCAGAACUGCCUUUGAUACUGGCGAUCUUGAGUCCGGGAGAGGUGAGUGGAACUCCGAGUGUAGAGGUGAAAUUCGUAGAUAUUCGGAAGAACACCAGUGGCGAAGGCGGCUCACUGGCCCGGUACUGACGCUGAGGUGCGAAAGCGUGGGGAGCAAACAGG
rnacentral:rRNA from 1 species